rnacentral:rRNA from 1 species
AUGAACGCUGGCGGCGUGCCUCAUACAUGCCAGUCGAGCGAACAGACGAGGAGCUUGCUCCUCUGACGUUAGCGGCGGACGGGUGAGUAACACGUGGAUAACCUACCUAUAAGACUGGGAUAACUUCGGGAAACCGGAGCUAAUACCGGAUAAUAUAUUGAACCGCAUGGUUCAAUAGUGAAAGACGGUUUUGCUGUCACUUAUAGAUGGAUCCGCGCCGCAUUAGCUAGUUGGUAAGGUAACAGCUUACCAAGGCGACGAUGCGUAGCCGACCUGAGAGGGUGAUCGGCCACACUGGAACUGAGACACGGUCCAGACUCCUACGGGAGGCAGCAGUAGGGAAUCUUCCGCAAUGGGCGAAAGCCUGACGGAGCAACGCCGCGUGAGUGAUGAAGGUCUUCGGAUCGUAAAACUCUGUUAUUAGGGAAGAACAAAUGUGUAAGUAACUAUGCACGUCUUGACGGUACCUAAUCAGAAAGCCACGGCUAACUACGU